CUGGGCCGAAACCCGUAAUCCUCC
rnacentral:siRNA from 1 species